rnacentral:rRNA from 1 species
CAUUCGUAGCUUGUUUUGUAAGUCUCUUGUGAAAUCUCAUAUCUCAAGUAUGAGGCGUGCAAGAGAUACUGCUUGACUAGAGACUGGAAGACGCAAAGAGUACGAUGAAGGGAGUGGUUAAAUAUGUUAAUCUUCAUCGGACUAACAAUGGCGAAGGCACUUUGCGAGUACAGAUCUGACAGUGAGGAAUGAAGGCUAGGGGCGCAAAAGGGAUUAGAUACCCCUGUAGUCCUAGCAGUAAACACUGCUCACUAAACAUUAGCACCUCCUCGAGAGGUGUUAGUGCUGUAGCGAAGGCGAAGAGUGUGCUACCUGGGAAGUAUAGUCGCAAGACCGAAACUUAAAGGAAUUGGCGGGGAGGCACUACAACGGGUGACGCGUGCGGUUCAAUUAGACUCUACACCGUGAAUCUCACCAGGACCGACAGCAGAAUGAAGGUCAGUCUAAAGGGCUUACCUGACACGCUGAGAGGAGUUGCAUGGCCGACAUAAGCCUGUGCUGUGAAGUGACUUGUUAAAUCAAGUAACAGGCGAGACCCUGUCUCUAAUUUCUACGAAAGAGCACAUUAGAGAGACUGCCUUGGUAACAAGGAGGAGGGUGGGGACGAUGUUAGGUGAGUACAGCCUGAAUGCCCCUGGGCAACACGCGCGCGGCAAUGUCACAUUCAAUGAGAUGCGACUCUGAAAAGAGAAGCUAAUCUCCUAACAUGUGGCCUAGUUCAGAUUGAGGUUUGUAGCCCAACCUC